rnacentral:rRNA from 1 species
AUUGAACGCUAGCGGGAUGCUUUACACAUGCAAGUCGAACGGCAGCGCGGACUUCGGUCUGGCGGCGAGUGGCGAACGGGUGAGUAAUGUAUCGGAACGUGCCCAGUAGCGGGGGAUAACUACGCGAAAGCGUAGCUAAUACCGCAAACGCCCUACGGGGGAAAGCGGGGAAUCGUAAGACCUUGCACUAUUGGACCGUCCGAUAUCGGAUUAGCUAGUUGGUGAGGUAACGGCUCACCAAGGCGACGAUCCGUAGCUGGUUUGAGAGGACGACCAGCCACACUGGAACUGAGACACGGCCCAGACUCCUACGGGAGGCAGCAGUGGGGAAUUUUGGACAAUGGUGGCAACCCUGAUCCAGCCAUCCCGCGUGUGCGAUGAAGGCCUUCGGGUUGUAAAGCACUUUUGGCAGGAAAGAAACGUCGCGGGCUAAUACCCCGUGGAACUGACGGUACCUGCAGAAUAAGCACCGGCUAACUACGUG